rnacentral:rRNA from 1 species
GCUAACGCGGAGCUAAUACCGCAUAUGUUCGCUCAUUCGGUUGGGCGAGUAAAGCAGCGAUGCGCUUAGGGAUGGGCCUGCGGCGGAUUAGGUAGUUGGUGGGGUAACGGCCUACCAAGCCGAUGAUCCGUAGGGGGCGUGAGAGCGUGGCCCCCCACACUGGCACUGAGACACGGGCCAGACUCCUACGGGAGGCAGCAGUGAGGAAUAUUGCACAAUGGGCGCAAGCCUGAUGCAGCAACGCCGCGUGAGGGACGAAGGCCUUCGGGUUGUAAACCUCUUUUCUGAGGGACGAGGAAGGACGGUACCUCAGGAAUAAGUCUCGGCUAACUACGUGCCAGCAGCCACGGUAAAACGUAGGAGGCGAGCGUUAUCCGGAUUUACUGGGCGUAAAGCGUACGCAGGUGGCUUCGUGAGUCGGACAUGAAAGCUCCCGGCUUAACUGGGAGAGGUUGUUCGAUACUGCGAGGCUUGAGGUUGGGAGAGGGACGUGGAAUUCCCGGUGUAGUGGUGGAAUGCGUAGAUAUCGGGAGGAACACCAGUGGCGCAAGCGGCGUCCUGGCCCACACCUGACGCUGAGGUACGAAAGCGUGGGUAGCAAACAGGAUUAGAUACCCUGGUAGUCCACGCUGUAAACGAUGUCAACUGGGUGUCGGUAGUUUUACACUAUCGGUGCCGAAGCCAACGCG